GGCAGGAGAGCAGGGAACGAAAUCCAAUUGCAGCUGGAAUGCUCUGGAGACAACAGCUGCUUUUGGGAUUCCGUUGCCCGCUGUCAAGCUG
rnacentral:pre_miRNA from 1 species